rnacentral:ncRNA from 1 species
ACCGUGCGACUGGCGGAGAGUAGGAGUACCUACGGGGAGCGCGGGAUAACAUAUGAGCCGACCGCCUGGGCAGCCU